GUCAGGGUUAGAGGACAGACCGUUCAGAAGUCAGCGUGAUUGAAGGCAUUUUAAAAAUUAUGUCAGAUCUUUCUCUUCUGCACCGUGGCAAUGUUUCCGGAUGCUUCAUUUUUAUUAAAACGAGGCUCCUGCCACUCCUUGCAGCUGCAACCAGAUGUACCAAGGAAGGAUGAGAAGAAAGUGAGAAGAAGGGGAAUAAAAGAAGGUGAGAAGACAGGGAAAAAGGAGGAAGGAAGAAAAGGAGGGAGAAAGGUGAUGAAAAUGUUCUAAACCUGAUCGUGUUGGUUGCCAGCAACCCUGUGAAUAUAUUAAAAAUCAUUGAAUUGUACAUUUUACGUGAAUGAAUUGUGUGAUGUGGUAGACAGAAUAAUGUCCCCUUAAAGAUGUCUAUGUCCUGAACUUCAGAGCCUGUGAAUAUGUUAGCAUACCUGGCAAAGAAGAAUUAAGUUUGCAGAUGAAAUUAAUUCAGUUGCUAAUUAGCUGACUUUAAGACAGGAAGUUUAGCCUGGAUUACCCAGGUAAGCCCAAUGUAAUCACAAACGACCUUAAAAGUAGAAGAUGGAAUAUGAAGAGAGAACCAGAGAGGCAGCAUCUUGAGAAAGACUCAGCCCAGUGUUGCUGGCCUUGAAGAUGGAGGAAGGGAGCCACGAGCCGAGGAGGGCAGGUGGCCUCUAGAAGCUGGGAAGGGCAAGGAAAUCCAUUCUCCCCUAGGACCUUCAGAAAGAAACUCAGCCCUGCCAAUACCUCGAUCUUUGUCCAGUGAGAUUUGUGUCACGCUUCUGAUCCAUGGAACAAGAUAGUAAAUUUGUGUUACUUUAAGUCACUAAGUGUGUGGUAAUUUGUUGCAGCGUCAGUAGAAAACUAAUAUAUACGGUAUGUGAGUUAUAUGUAAAUAAAGCUGUUUAAAAAAAUGAUUGUUUUCUUAGGUGGCAUAAAUAGAAGUAUGACGUCUGGAAGGGUGGAGGUGAUAGUCUCUUUGCAAUCUAAGUGAGGCAGACUCCAUCUGGAGCUCAGCUCUGAAUGCCACACUGUAAGAGGAA
rnacentral:lncRNA from 10 species